UAAGACCCCAAAGUUUGGUUAGUAAAAUGAAAAACGCAAAACCCUAAACCCCUCUUUGCGCUGUAUUGGUUGAUCCAAUCUCAUCUCAUCGACAAUGGCUUCGGCGUGUAGCAGAAUUGCGCAAAGAGCAUCAUCAAUUUCAUCAAUCAAAUCGGCCAUCAAAUCGAACAUUCGCGCUUCUUCAUUCUCAAAACCAACAACCACAUCUUCUCCACUUCGCCGAUCAUUUUCAUCCAGGAUUGCGCCGGAACUCGGAUGCGUGCAGUCGUUGUUGCCACUUCACAGUGCAGUUGCAGCGGCUAGAAUGACUUCACGGCUCAGCAUAACUUCGAGGAUCUGUCGUUCGCUAUCUCAGGGUACUCUCUGCUGCACCUCUCCCGGCCUCUAAUACUUUCUUUUUCAAAAUUAUUCACACACUGCACAUAGUUAAUUGGGAGUAUGCGGGACCAGCCAAUUAAGGCCUACUGCUUCAUUAUCAAAUGCAAUUGAUGGGACGUGAGACAUGGUUGCUGUUCUUGAGAGCUUGGUCUAUCAGUUCCAAGGUGACAUGCUAGAAGAAAGAUUGAAGAAAGCCUUUUAGGUUUUGUAAGGUUGGAUUUGUGGUCGUUUUGUUACAUUGGUUCCCAGAAAGUGGGUAUACUUGCUGUAAUUCUUUCAGGCUUAGAAAAUGAUGUGUUCUGUUAAAUUAUAUUCGCACUAAUUGAUAUAUUCAUUAAUAAGCAUAAUAAUUAAAACAUAUAAUACUAUGUUACCUUCUACAA